GCUGGAGCUGGGUGGGUGUGGCAGGCCCCCCGUGGCUAUGCAAAGCUCUGACAAUGUUUUACUUGCUACCCUCGGUCUGCUUACCACACUCCCAGUUCCGC
ensembl:miRNA